GUGCUCACUUCGGCAGCACACAUAUACUAAAAUUGGAACAAUACAAAGAAGAUUAGCGUGGCCCCUGCGCAAGGAUGACAUGCAAAUUCGUGAAGCAUUUCAUAUUUAA